rnacentral:rRNA from 1 species
GGGUCCACCUCCCCCCGUGUUUAUCGUACCUUGUUGCUUCGGCGGGCCCGCCUCACGGCCGCCGGGGGGCAUCCGCCCCCGGGCCCGCGCCCGCCGAAGACACACAAACGAACUCUUGUCUGAAGAUUGCAGUCUGAGUACUUGACUAAAUCAGUUAAAACUUUCAACAACGGAUCUCUUGGUUCCGGCAUCGAUGAAGAACGCAGCGAAAUGCGAUAAGUAAUGUGAAUUGCAGAAUUCAGUGAAUCAUCGAGUCUUUGAACGCACAUUGCGCCCCCUGGUAUUCCGGGGGGCAUGCCUGUCCGAGCGUCAUUGCUGCCCUCAAGCACGGCUUGUGUGUUGGGCUCUCGCCCCCCGCUUCCGGGGGGCGGGCCCGAAAGGCAGCGGCGGCACCGCGUCCGGUCCUCGAGCGUAUGGGGCUUCGUCACCCGCUCUGUAGGCCCGGCCGGCGCCCGCCGGCGAACACCAUCAAUCUUAACCAGGUUGACCUCGGAUCAGGUAGGGAUACCCGCUGAACUUAAGCAUAUCAUAA